rnacentral:rRNA from 1 species
UACGUAGGUGACAAGCGUUGUCCGGAUUUACUGGGCGUAAAGAGCGCGCAGGCGGUCGAUCAAGUCGAGUGUGAAGGCCCCCGGCUCAACUGGGGAGGGUCAUUCGAUACUGAUCGACUCGAAGGCAGGAGAGGGUAGUGGAAUUCCCGGUGUAGUGGUGAAAUGUGUUGAUAUCGGAAGGAACGCCGGUGGCGAAAGCGGCCCGCUGGACCCCAUCUGACGCUGAGGCGCGAAAGCCAGGGGAGCGAACGGG